rnacentral:lncRNA from 1 species
CAAAGAGUCUGACACGACUGAGCGACUGAACUGAACUGAACUGAACAUAACAUUAUGGAUAUGAAUCAUCUACCUUGGAAAUAGGGAUUGUUAACCAGAUCUGUCAACUGGGCCUAUGCAUACCCAGUCAGCUCCCCACUGCCUUCCCUACGUUUCCCUGGCAGUGAGUAAGAGAACCACCAAGAACCACAAAUCAAUUUAGGACUGAAUUCUCAGUCCUGGCCUCCUGAAAUGGCCUUCUAACCAUAGUCUUGGAUAUACCUACCUUCUGCUCUCCUAUUGAAAUGGCUUUGUAAGUAGUUCUAUAUUCUAUAAACCUAUAAUAUCAUCUUCCUCUAUAAGAAAUAGAUCUUAGAAACAUCCACAUCU